GAGGCGAAGAGGAAAAGGGCCUCCUUUGUCUGCAUCGGGCGGUUCCGGUGGCGCGACAGCACGAGGAGAUGCGGGCUGCUGCACAUCUACCUCGACCAGGAAGGAGGGCCUGCACAUCUACCUCGACCAGGAAGGAGGGCCUGACCAAGAUGCGGGCUGUUGCACGCCUGCACAUCUACCUUGAUGAGGAGAUCUAGACUUCUGGUCAUUCGUCCGGCGCGCGGAGGCCUUACAGCUCUCAGGUUCCUCCUAACUUUGGAGACUGUGAGUAUUUGGAGUUUUGGAGGCUCCUCAGGUCAUCUUCCUCAACCGGGCGCCAGUGCACCUCGCACAUGAACAACAAUGGCCACACCCAUUUAGGUAAAG